rnacentral:pre_miRNA from 1 species
ACAAAGGGUCUGAUCCAAAGCCCACUGGAAUCAAUGGAAGUUUUUCCAUUAACUUCAGUCGGUUUUGGAUCAAGCCUGUGUACGU